UAAAAGUAGCCAAUGAAAGCUUAAAGAGUUUCUGGACUCAAAUUCUUUUUUUUUUUUUAAACUUGAAGCCAAACUAAGUAAAAUACCCCACAUAAAGUAAAAUGUGUCAUUUAUCUUCCUAUGCUGAUUGUAUGCCCCUUCGGUUCCAAGUGUUUUUAAGCAUAAUUAGGGUGACAGCAUGGCUGAUACGUAGUCCAGGCUCCAUCAUCAGCCAGAGCUAGAUCCUUGGAAUGUCA
rnacentral:lncRNA from 1 species